rnacentral:rRNA from 1 species
GAUGAACGCUGGCGGCGUUCCUAAUACAUGCAAGUCGAGCGAACGGACGAGAAGCUUGCUUCUCUGAUGUUAGCGGCGGACGGGUGAGUAACACGUGGAUAACCUACCUAUAAGACUGGGAUAACUUCGGGAAACCGUAGCUAAUACCGGAUAAUAUUUUGAACCGCAUGGUUCAAAAGUGAAAGACGGUCUUGCUGUCACUUAUAGAUGGAUCCGCGCUGCAUUAUCUAGUUGGUAAGGUAACGGCUUACCAAGGCAACGAUGCAUAGCCGACCUGAGAGGGUGAUAGGCCACAUUGGAGCUGGGACACGGUCCAGACUCCUACGGGAGGCAGCAGUAGGGAAUGUUCCGCAGUGGGCGGAAGCCUGACGGAGCAACGCCGCGUGAGUGAUGAAGGUCUUCGGAUCGUAAAGCUCUGUUAUUAGGGAAGAACAUAUGUGUAAGUAGCUGUGCACAUCUUGACGGUACCUAGUCAGAAAGCCACGGCUAACUACGUG